rnacentral:rRNA from 1 species
CCUACGGGAGGCAGCAGUGGGGAAUAUUCCGCAAUGGGCGAAAGCCUGACGGAGCGACGCCGCGUGAGUGAAGAAGGUCUUCGGAUCGUAAAGCUCUGUUGUUGGGGACGAAUUACCCUUUUAGGGAGUUGACGGUACCCGACGAGGAAGCCACGGCUAACUACGUGCCAGCAGCCGCGGUAAU